rnacentral:rRNA from 1 species
CUCCUACGGGGGGCAGCAGUGGGGAAUAUUGCACAAUGGGGGAAACCCUGAUGCAGCGACGCCGCGUGAGUGAAGAAGUAUUUCGGUAUGUAAAGCUCUAUCAGCAGGGAAGAAAUACUGACCUUACGGUCAGCAGACGGUACCUGACUAAGAAGCCCCGGCUAACUACGUGCCAGCAGCCGCGGUAAUACGUAGGGGGCAAGCGUUAUCCGGAUUUACUGGGUGUAAAGGGAGCGUAGACGGCAGGGCAAGUCUGGAGUGAAAGCCCGGGGCCCAACCCCGGGACUGCUUUGGAAACUGCCAUG